rnacentral:rRNA from 1 species
UACGUAGGGGGCUAGCGUUGUCCGGAAUCAUUGGGCGUAAAGCGCGCGUAGGCGGUCCGGUAAGUCCGCUGUGAAAGUCAAAGGCUCAACCUUUGAAUGUCAGCGGAUACUGCCGGGCUAGAGUCCGGAAGAGGCGAGUGGAAUUCCUGGUGUAGCGGUGGAAUGCGCAGAUAUCAGGAGGAACACCAACGGCGAAGGCAGCUCGCUGGGACGGUACUGACGCUGAGGCGCGAAAGCGUGGGGAGCGAACAGG